ACACAUAUUUGUGAUUUAGCAUCUACAUUUAAUAAUGUUAGAAAGGUUAAAUAUGUAAUAAUUAGAUUAUAAACUUUACCGUUUCGAGAGUGAGCGCAAUGAGUCCACUAUUCUGUGCUUCUGAAUGGCUGUAUUUAAAUUUCUGUUGUUUCGUCUGGUGCAAACAGCUAAAUUGCUUAUCACUGCAAAUUUUGUCACGUAGUAUGUUGUUACAAUGUAACCCGCUCACCUAAUGUUUAUGUUCGUAAUAUUUAUAUUAUUUGCUAAUUAAUAACCGGGCAGUGGGCAGGCUAAAAGAACCAAAACAAAGACAGCCAUUCAGGCACGUAAUGCAUAUUUCAAAGCAGAAUAUCUGACGUCAGCAUUGGUUUACAGAUAGACAUGAAUGUUCACUUAGCAUGUUUCUGAAAUAUCAGCAAACAUAUUUGCAUUUUUAUGCUUUAGAAGAGUCAAAAACUUACAUACAGCUCCUUUUUAAUCGAUGUGUAUUAGGACAACAUGAAGGAAUUGUGUGGAACCUAACAUUUUUUUACAUUGUAUUGUCAACAUAGCACAACUGAAUGCAAAGUAUCAAAACGAUGCCACAUAUUAUGGCUUUUGGUUGUAACUUUCAUAUAAACGACAGCAAAAAGUGAAGCAAUGUAUGUCUUUACAGUUCACCUAUAGUAAUAGAGAAAAAGAUGAGAAAUGAUUUAUUGAAGGAGUGCACUGGUGGAGAUAGAUAUAAGUGUACAUUUAAACCAUCAGUGUAAGGAAAAUGGUCAGUGUAUCUGGCGCAGGGUCUGAAAGUGUUGUGCUUAUUCUCUCUAUGAGUUAUAAAAUGUGUUUUCUGUGUAACUGGCAUUAAACCAAUCAGAGUCGUAUCUCUCAUUCCCUUUAAGAGUGAUUUGCUGUAGCGUCAUUGCGCAUUCGUUAUUUACCUGGCAGAUUUCGUAAACAGAAUGCUUCACUAAAAAAGGAAAUAAAGGUUAAAAUGCACGAACAGACCACCUACUAAAUAUUCGACCAAAGCUCCCCAAGGCAUAGUUUUUUUAUGUUAACAAUAAUAAUCUUUUAUAUUUUAAUAUUUUAUUUAUUUUUUAAAUUUAAAGAUGUUUGAGUGUCCCUGUGUGUAAUCAGUAACGUGUAGGCUUGAUGUGGAGCUUCGUACGCUGAAAGAAAGGAUUUUUCCACGAUUGUUGUAAACAAUUUAUGUGGGUUGAAUUUAAAAAAACAAAUUAAAUGUAGUAAUGCCCGUCGAUCGGGUUGUCGUGGUCCUAACCUUCGACCACCACCCCUUCCACAGUGCACCAUUCCCUUACAACUCCCCCAGUGGCUGGUGGGCCCGCAGGAAGGAGGAUGAUCCCACGUCGCUCCUUCGGGCUAAGCCUUGCCAUGUUCCGUGGGAAAAAAAACAGGCCACCAGGCACUUGCAUACGAGCCCAAACUCCAGGAUGGGGCCCCAGCUGUGCAAUACCGGGCGACGCCACCGUACUCCAUGUUAUUAAGUUCACAAGGGGUUUUUGGACCACACUUAGUCGGACAUGUUACCUAAGACUUUUGUGCCUUGUGCCUUUGUGCUCUUAGGAUCACUCAGGCACUCAAAACCCCUCCACCAUGAUAAGGUGGUGGUAAGUCCGAGGCCAUGGUGCUCCACCAGAAAAAAGUGGUUUGCCAUCUCCAGGUUUGAGGAUAGUCCUUACCCCAGAUGGAGGAGUUUAAGUAUCCUGGGGUUUUGUUUAUGAGUGAAGGAAGGAUGAAGCGUGAGAUUGACAAGCGGAUUGGUGCAGCGGCAGCAGUAAUGCGGUCGAUGUACCUGUCCGUUGUGGUGAAGAAGGAGCUGAGCCAAAUGGCAAAGCUCUCGAUUUACCAGUCAAUCUACGUUCCUAUGGUCAUGAGCUUUGGGUCAUGACCGAAAGGUCAAGAUCUCAAUACAAGUGGCUGAAAUUAGUUUCCUUCGCAGGGUGGAAGGGUGCAUCCUUAUAGACAGGGUGAGGUGUUCUGUCACCCGAGAGGAACCUUAAAGUAGAGCCACUGCUCCUUCACAUCAAGAGCAGUCAGCUGGAGAAAUCUGGAGUUCUCUCCUGAGACUGCUGCCCCCACGACCCGGCCCUGGCCCUGAUGAUGUUGAUCGUGAUGAAUGUAGUAAUGUUUAACUUAAUUUAGUUGUUUUAUUUCAGCCCAAAUAAAUUGUUUUCAACCACUUAAUUUUUUUUAGUAAAUCCGAGGAAUCAUCUUUGAACCAUUUUCUUCAGUGUACAGGUACAUAUCACUUCACACUCUCUUUAAAUAACAACAAAAACCUGUGGCGUUGACUUUAAACCAGCUUUUAGUUGUUCAUUGGCAUGAUCUAUUUCAGCUGCCUCAAAACAGCAAGGCACUAACAAAGUGCUGUAAGCCCUUAACGCACCUCCUUUUCAGGACAGAAUGUCCAUGAGCGCACAAAUGGGUGCAAAUGCAUUUGCUAUUUGAACAGAAUCUUAUACCUGUGGCUGGAUGAAAAUCUAAAAAAAAGAGUCUGUAUUGCACCAGAUUUAUGAAAGGGUGCAAAGAGUCUAAAUGCUCUCUGAUAUUGAAUACGAUUCACACAGAGAAUUGACAGGAGGUGAACAUUCAAUUAUUUGUAAGUCACUGAAACAGAAAGUUCUAGCUUGUUCAUGGAGAGAUUAGUCGUCGAGACUGGUCAGUUUCCCUUUGGUCAAUAAGUGUCCAGUUUUCAAUGCAUGAUUAAUGCAGCCAUGAAGACGAAUGUUAAUAAGUGUCAGCAUGUUUAUUGUCUACUGUAGGAGUGCCUAAGCUUAGUCCUGGAGAACCGGUCUUCUGCAGCUCCUAGCUCCAACUUCCUCUCUGUCAUAUUUAAUUUCCUACUUCAUUCGAGAAGCAGUAGCAGGAUCAUCUGCUGUUUGUGAGUUUUUCAUGUAGAGAAAUCUCCUCAGGUCUUUGGAUAAUUAUGCAUUCAGACGUUAAUGUCCAAACACUUCUUUUUAAAAGUUUAAGCUGUUGUUGCAGAUGAAAUCUAACACAAAAAUGUGAUUGAAAGAUGUUACAGUAGGCUAGAUAUUAAUUAACAGUAGUACAAACAUUUUUACCGUAGACUCUCUACUUGACGGUUGAUCUAUAUCAGACGCCAUGUUUGUAGUUUAUUUACACAUUUCACUUGUGUUUGUCGUUCUUAUAGAAUUCACAUCCAAUGCUCAAUUGUAGGAAAUAUUAGCGGUUAGAGCGGGGGUUACCAAACUCGGUCCUAGAGGGCCGUUGUCCCUCCAAGGUUUAGCUCUAACUUGCCUUAACACACCUGCCUGGAUGUUUCAAGUAUACCUAGUAAGACCUUGAUUAGCUUGUUCAGAUGGGUUUGAUUAGGGUUGGAGCUAAAAUCUGCAGGACACCGGCCCUCCAGGAACAAGUUUGGUGACCCCUGGGUUAGAGUAUUAUCAACUUAAGAGUUGCAUCAACUGCCAAAGUUCAGUUCCAAAACUCAACCCGCAAGAACAGAAGAUGCGUAAAAGGUUCCCGGAUUUGUUCUUGGUAUCAAGGAUGCACCGUUGCAGACUUGAUCACUGAACUCACUUAAGAAGUUCCUGAAGUUAUUGCAAAAUAUUAAAAUCUGUUUUAUUUUUAUCCAAGAUGACCUAGCAAGACCGGUGUUUACAAGAACGCAAGUCUGUUCUCUGUGUUCUUGGAAUUGUGAAACAAGUUUGAGUUUCUACCGAAAAUAGUAAACCAUCCAGGAACCUUGGCUAACUCUUCUCAACAUACUACAAUUUAGAACAUACAGACUUUUUCUACUGACUAUUUAGGACAGAAUAGGGCACAGAACAUCAGCCCUCCAGGAUCUGGGAUUUUGGCAUCCCAUCCUAGCGUUUUAUUUAUUUUUUUUCUCUGUCAUUUUUUUAACAGGGUUUUUCACUUGUUAUCUAGAAGCAUUCAACAUUAUAACAAAGUUGAUAGUAAAAAGACUGAAAAUUUAAAAAAAAAAUAUAUAUAUAUAUUGACUGAAAAUGGAAAUCAAUAGGGGUACAAUGUUUCAUCGUAUCAGUAUUUUACUUUCAGAGUUGUUAAAAUAGCAGCAAGCAGAAGCCCACGCAGUGGAUCUAUUUGACGUAACACACUGCGCACCUAAAAAAAUAAUAGCUACCCCCAUAGUCCACAGUAAAUGUGGUAUGUAUUUUGUAUUUUUAUAACGUAAAUCUUCGAUUGGGCAAUUUAGUCAUACACCAAUGUUAAAACAGCUGUCAUAACAGUAUUUAUCAAUUUGUGGCUCUUUUUGUAUUCUCUGAAGUUGUAUUCUCUAGAAAUUAAAAAUGUCAAACAGGAAAUAUGUUGGGACCAUUGUUUUUGUUUACAUCCCUCAAAAUGGUCUAUUGCGUCUUGAUACAUUAAAGGUAAUGUUAAAAUAACUUGUAUAGUUAAUUUGAUUAAACUUUUUUUUCACAAAUGUGGAACGGCCUUAAACAUUAUAAAGUUACUACAAAAUUGAUGGUAAUUAAGACCAGCAUACCUUUGACUAAAAAAUAAAAACCAAGAGCGGCACAAUGUGGCAUCUUAUCAGUAUUUUACUUCCAAAGUUGUUAAAUCAGCAGCAGGCAGUGGCUCACCCAGUGAAUCUAUUUGACGUAACACACUGCCCACCUACAAUAAUGGCGAGUCCCAUAGUCCACAAUAAAUGUUGUAUGUAUUUUGGUUUUUCAUUGCAAAAACCUUUAUUGGGUUUCAACUUGAUAUUUCAUUAAGAGACAUCAGUUAUGCUAUAGAACCAUUUUAAUUUGGCCAUCUCAGUAGCCCAUGAACAUUUCCUGCUUGUUAUCAAACUAUUUCAUAACUGUAAGAAGAGGCAAUAUAAUCAUAACUUAAUGUUAAAACCACUUGCAUAACAUUAUUUAUCAAUAUGUGGCUCUUUUUGGACCAUUGCUUUUGUUCACAUGCCUCAAAAUUGUCUAUAUUAAGUUAAACAAGUCUUGAUACAUUAAAGGUAAUGUUGAAAUAACUUGUAUAGUUAAUUUGAGUCAACUUUUCAUACAAAUGGGGACCAGAAGCAGCCUUUUCUUUCUUCAAAAUAUAAUUUUAAAUUCAACAAUUCAUACAGGUUUGGAAAAACUUGAAGGUGAAUAAAUAAAAUGAUCAUUUUCAGGUGAACUGUGCCUUUAAAUGUGUUUUGCCUGUUACAAUGCAUGUACAGAAGACUUUUUGUAAAUUUACAGGACAAAUACAUUGUGGCUAUUGAACAGACAAAAUGAAUCACAAUAAAGCAAAUUUAACCAAGAA